UUGAAAAGAAAAUUGGAGAUUCACUUUGUUCUGUAGAGUUUCUUUCUGUCCUCCUGAAAUCACAGAACAAUUUGUAUUAAUAUCUGUUUAUCAUGAAAUAUCAAAACUCAUGUGAACUUGUUUUCAGCCGAUUAACGUUAAACUCUCAGUGUAAGUGACGUCAUCGAUUCAGUAAAUCAGCCUUUUCCAAAAAAA